AUUGAACGCUGGCGGCAGGCCUAACACAUGCAAGUCGAGCGAGCGGCGGACGGGUGAGUAAUGUAUGGGGACUGCCCGAUCGAGGGGGAUAACUACUGGAAACGGUAGCUAAUCCCGCAUACUAUCGGAUAACCCAUAUGGGAUUAGCUAGUCGGUUAGGUAAUGGCUCACCUAGGCGACGAUCCCUAGCUGGUCUGAGAGGAUGAUCAGCCACACUGGGACUGAGACACGGCCCAGACUCCUACGGAGGCAGCAGUGGGGAAUAUUGCACCAUGGGCUCAAGCCUGAUGCAACCAUGCCGAGUGUAUGAAGAAGGCCCUAGGGUUGUAAAGGACAUUCAGUCGUGAGGCGUUACCGACAGAAGAAGCACCGGCUAACUCCGUGCCAGCCGCCGCGAUAAUUC
rnacentral:rRNA from 1 species